rnacentral:rRNA from 1 species
UACGUAGGGUGCGAGCGUUAAUCGGAAUUACUGGGCGUAAAGCGUGCGCAGGCGGUUUUGUAAGCCAGAUGUGAAAUCCCCGGGCUUAACCUGGGAAUGGCAUUUGGGACUGCAAGGCUGGAGUACGGCAGAGGAGACUGGAAUUCCUGGUGUAGCAGUGAAAUGCGUAGAGAUCAGGAGGAAUACCGAUGGCGAAGGCAGGUCUCUGGGCUGAUACUGACGCUCAUGCACGAAAGGCGUGGGGAGCAAACAGGAU